GUUCAGGACGAACGCUGGCGGCGUGCCUAAUACAUGCAAGUCGAACGAACUCUGGUAUUGAUUGGUGCUUGCAUCAUGAUUUACAUUUGAGUGAGUGGCGAACUGGUGAGUAACACGUGGGAAACCUGCCCAGAAGCGGGGGAUAACACCUGGAAACAGAUGCUAAUACCGCAUAACAACUUGGACCGCAUGGUCCGAGUUUGAAAGAUGGCUUCGGCUAUCACUUUUGGAUGGUCCCGCGGCGUAUUAGCUAGAUGGUGGGGUAACGGCUCACCAUGGCAAUGAUACGUAGCCGACCUGAGAGGGUAAUCGGCCACAUUGGGACUGAGACACGGCCCAAACUCCUACGGGAGGCAGCAGUAGGGAAUCUUCCACAAUGGACGAAAGUCUGAUGGAGCAACGCCGCGUGAGUGAAGAAGGGUUUCGGCUCGUAAAACUCUGUUGUUAAAGAAGAACAUAUCUGAGAGUAACUGUUCAGGUAUUGACGGUAUUUAACCAGAAAGCCACGGCUAACUACGUGCCAGCAGCCGCGGUAAUACGUAGGUGGCAAGCGUUGUCCGGAUUUAUUGGGCGUAAAGCGAGCGCGGGCGGUUUUUUAAGUCUGAUGUGAAAGCCUUCGGCUCAACCGAAGAAGUGCAUCGGAAACUGGGAAACUUGAGUGCAGAAGAGGACAGUGGAGCUCCAUGUGUAGCGGUGAAAUGCGUAGAUAUAUGGAAGAACACCAGUGGCGAAGGCGGCUGUCUGGUCUGUAACUGACGCUGAGGCUCGAAAGUAUGGGUAGCAAACAGGAUUAGAUACCCUGGUAGUCCAUACCGUAAACGAUGAAUGCUAAGUGUUGGAGGGUUUCCGCCCUUCAGUGCUGCAGCUAACGCAUUAAGCAUUCCGCCUGGGGAGUACGGCCGCAAGGCUGAAACUCAAAGGAAUUGACGGGGGCCCGCACAAGCGGUGGAGCAUGUGGUUUAAUUCGAAGCUACGCGAAGAACCUUACCAGGUCUUGACAUACUAUGCAAAUCUAAGAGAUUAGACGUUCCCUUCGGGGACAUGGAUACAGGUGGUGCAUGGUUGUCGUCAGCUCGUGUCGUGAGAUGUUGGGUUAAGUCCCGCAACGAGCGCAACCCUUAUUAUCAGUUGCCAGCAUUAAGUUGGGCACUCUGGUGAGACUGCCGGUGACAAACCGGAGGAAGGUGGGGAUGACGUCAAAUCAUCAUGCCCCUUAUGACCUGGGCUACACACGUGCUACAAUGGAUGGUACAACGAGUUGCGAACUCGCGAGAGUAAGCUAAUCUCUUAAAGCCAUUCUCAGUUCGGAUUGUAGGCUGCAACUCGCCUACAUGAAGUCGGAAUCGCUAGUAAUCGCGGAUCAGCAUGCCGCGGUGAAUACGUUCCCGGGCCUUGUACACACCGCCCGUCACACCAUGAGAGUUUGUAACACCCAAAGUCGGUGGGGUAACCUUUUAGGAACCAGCCGCCUAAGGUGGG
rnacentral:rRNA from 1 species